rnacentral:rRNA from 1 species
UACGUAGGGGGCUAGCGUUGUCCGGAAUCAUUGGGCGUAAAGCGCGUGUAGGCGGUUAGUUAAGUCAGAUGUGAAAUCCCUGGGCUCAACCGAGGAAGUGCAUUUGAAACUAACUAGCUAGAGAAUGGUAGAGGAAGGUGGAAUUCCGUGUGUAGAGGUGAAAUUCGUAGAUAUACGGAGGAAUACCAGUGGCGAAGGCGGCCUUCUGGACCAUUUCUGACGCUGAGACGCGAAAGCGUGGGGAGCAAACAGG